rnacentral:rRNA from 1 species
ACCGGCGCACGGGUGAGUAACACGUAUCCAACCUGCCGUCUACUCUUGGACAGCCUUCUGAAAGGAAGAUUAAUACAAGAUGGCAUCAUGAGUCCGCAUGUUCACGUGAUUAAAGGUAUUCCGGUAGACGAUGGGGAUGCGUUCCAUUAGAUAGUAGGCGGGGUAACGGCCCACCUAGUCUUCGAUGGAUAGGGGUUCUGAGAGGAAGGUCCCCCACAUUGGAACUGAGACACGGUCCAAACUCCUACGGAGGCAGCAUG